CCUACGGGAGGCUGCAGUAGGGAAUCUUCGGCAAUGGGCGAAAGCCUGACCGAGCAACGCCGCGUGAAUGAAGAAGGCCUUCGGGUUGUAAAAUUCUGUUAUAAGGGAAGAAAGGUGAUAGGAGGAAAUGACUAUCAAUUGACGGUACCUUAUGAGAAAGCCACGGCUAACUACGUGCCAGCAGCCGCGGUAAUACGUAGGUGGCAAGCGUUAUCCGGAAUUACUGGGUGUAAAGGGAGCGUAGACGGUAAUGUAAGUCUGGAGUGAAAGGCGGGGGCCCAACCCCCGGACUGCUCUGGAAACUAUGUUACUAGAGUGCAGGAGAGGUAAGCGGAAUUCCUAGUGUAGCGGUGAAAUGCGUAGAUAUUAGGAGGAACACCAGUGGCGAAGGCGGCUUACUGGACUGUAACUGACGUUGAGGCUCGAAAGCGUGGGGAGCAAACAGGAUUAGAUACCCUUGUAGUC
rnacentral:rRNA from 1 species